rnacentral:rRNA from 1 species
GACGUAGGGCGCGAGCGUUGUCCGGAUUUAUUGGGCGUAAAGAGCGUGUAGGCGGCCAUACAGGUCAGCUGUGAAAACUCGAGGCUCAACCUCGAGACGUCGGUUGAAACCGUUUGGCUAGAGUCCGGAAGAGGAGAGUGGAAUUCCCGGUGUAGCGGUGAAAUGCGCAGAUAUCGGGAAGAACACCCGUGGCGAAGGCGGCUCUCUGGGACGGUACUGGACGCUGAGACGCGAAAGCGUGGGGAGCGAACAGG